rnacentral:rRNA from 1 species
CUUUGACGUUAGCGGCGGACGGGUGAGUAACACGUGGGUAACCUACCUAUAAGACUGGGAUAACUUCGGGAAACCGGAGCUAAUACCGGAUAACAUUUGGAACCGCAUGGUUCUAAAGUGAAAGAUGGUUUUGCUAUCACUUAUAGAUGGACCCGCGCCGUAUUAGCUAGUUGGUAAGGUAACGGCUUACCAAGGCGACGAUACGUAGCCGACCUGAGAGGGUGAUCGGCCACACUGGAACUGAGACACGGUCCAGACUCCUACGGGAGGCAGCAGUAGGGAAUCUUCCGCAAUGGGCGAAAGCCUGACGGAGCAACGCCGCGUGAGUGAUGAAGGGUUUCGGCUCGUAAAACUCUGUUAUUAGGGAAGAACAAACGUGUAAGUAACUGUGCACGUCUUGACGGUACCUAAUCAGAAAGCCACGGCUAACUACGUGCCAGCAGCCGCGGUAAUACGUAGGUGGCAAGCGUUAUCCGGAAUUAUUGGGCGUAAAGCGCGCGUAGGCGGUUUCUUAAGUCUGAUGUGAAAGCCCACGGCUCAACCGUGGAGGGUCAUUGGAAACUGGGAAACUUGAGUGCAGAAGAGGAAAGUGGAAUUCCAUGUGUAGCGGUGAAAUGCGCAGAGAUAUGGAGGAACACCAGUGGCGAAGGCGACUUUCUGGUCUGUAACUGACGCUGAUGUGCGAAAGCGUGGGGAUCAAACAGGAUUAGAUACCCUGGUAGUCCACGCCGUAAACGAUGAGUGCUAAGUGUUAGGGGGUUUCCGCCCCUUAGUGCUGCAGCUAACGCAUUAAGCACUCCGCCUGGGGAGUACGACCGCAAGGUUGAAACUCAAAGGAAUUGACGGGGACCCGCACAAGCGGUGGAGCAUGUGGUUUAAUUCGAAGCAACGCGAAGAACCUUACCAAAUCUUGACAUCCUUUGAAAACUCUAGAGAUAGAGCCUUCCCCUUCGGGGGACAAAGUGACAGGUGGUGCAUGGUUGUCGUCAGCUCGUGUCGUGAGAUGUUGGGUUAAGUCCCGCAACGAGCGCAACCCUUAAGCUUAGUUGCCAUCAUUAAGUUGGGCACUCUAGGUUGACUGCCGGUGACAAACCGGAGGAAGGUGGGGAUGACGUCAAAUCAUCAUGCCCCUUAUGAUUUGGGCUACACACGUGCUACAAUGGACAAUACAAAGGGCAGCUAAACCGCGAGGUCAUGCAAAUCCCAUAAAGUUGUUCUCAGUUCGGAUUGUAGUCUGCAACUCGACUACAUGAAGCUGGAAUCGCUAGUAAUCGUAGAUCAGCAUGCUACGGUGAAUACGUUCCCGGGUCUUGUACACACCGCCCGUCACACCACGAGAGUUUGUAACACCCGAAGCCGGUGGAGUAACCAUUUA